rnacentral:rRNA from 1 species
AUUGAACGCUGGCGGCAGGCCUAACCCAUGCAAGUCGAACGAGUGGCGGACGGGUGAGUAAUGUCUGGGAAACUGCCUGAUGGAGGGGUAUAACUACUGGAAACGGUAGCUAAUACCGCAUACCAUCAGAUGUGCCCAGAUGGGAUUAGCUUGUUGGUGGGGUAACGGCUCACCAAGGCGACGAUCCCUAGCUGGUCUGAUAGCAUGACCAGCCACGCGGGAACUGAGACACGGUCCAGACUCCUACGGGAGGCAGCAGGGGGGAAUAUUGCACAAGGGGUGAAAGUCUGAUGCAGCCAUGCCGCGUGUAGGAAGAAGGCCUUCGGGUUGUAAAGUACGUUCAGCGGGGAGGCGUUACCCGCAGAAGAAGCACCGGCUAACUCCGUGCCAGCAGCCGCGGUAAUUC